GAUUUCUGGUUUGAUGUGCCUGUCCCGCCACGGUAACGUGUGUGAGUGACGGUGUACGUCUGCCAUCCUUCUAGAUUCGGCAGGUUACUCUUAACUGAGUGGUCUGUCUGUUCUAGAUCUUUUACUUUGAAAAAAUUAGAGUGUUUCAAGCAGGCUUUUGCUAUGAAUACAUUAGCAUGGAAUAAUGAGUUAGGACUUCGGUUCUAUUUUGUUGGUUUCUAGGGCUGAAGUAAUGAUUGAUAGGGACAGUUGGGGGUGCUAGUAUUCAGUGCGAAGAGGUGAAAUUCUUGGAUCCACUGAAGACUAACUUAUGCGAAAGCAUU
rnacentral:rRNA from 2 species